rnacentral:lncRNA from 1 species
AAUUUAUAUAGCUCUCUGUGCACAUAUAGAAUAACAAAUAUAUUUCUACAAAAUUUAACUUUUCAUAUUUAUUCUUAUAAAAGCCUCGUGAUAUUCAUGUUUGUUCAUCUGAUUUGUUAUUUUUAAUGCACUAUUUAUUUUUUAAAAGAAAAUAAGUGAAAUGAUAUUUUUGCCAUUUCAAAUAUGUCAGUCUAAAAGUCCCAACUGUUAGAAUUAUGAAGAAAUAUUCUUCCAAAAUUUUUCACUAGUCAUCUUCUUUUUUUUUUACCAUAACAAAUAAUAUAAGAGAAGUAAAAAAGAUUAAUUUACCUUAUUCACUAAACAGAAUUAAGUAUUUUAUUUAUGAUUAACUAUAUUUUUCUAACGGAUCUUAACAGCACGGGUAUAUUUAAAAAUAUUAGAAUUUUUGAAGGAAUAAAUAUGAAAAAUUGAACUUGGUAGUAAUAUAUCUAUUAUUCGAUAUGUUUACAUAAAACUGCAUGCAAUUAACCUAAAAACAAUUCACUAAUU